rnacentral:misc_RNA from 1 species
AAUUAUUUUAAAAUAUUUAAAUAAUUUAACCUUUAAUUCACCUAUCCCAACAUGGCUACCGUGCGAGCACCUAUCAAAACCUUGAUGAAAAUAACAAACCGAAAAUCCAUUUGACCUUGGACGUGCCCCGUGCUGGUGCACUGGCCUUAGGGGUGCUGAAGGACUUGAUUUGGAUGCCGGCGCCGGCGACGACAGUGCGCCGGCGCACAUCUCUAUGGAGGUGGACACGGCGACCCGUGGGCGACCGCCGCUGCCGCGGUUUGCUACAGGUGGCGAUGGCCACUAAUCUGUCACGAACUUCUGACAGUGAACGCCAGUCGGUUCUCGGAUGUGAGGACGCGCCCGUCGAAUCAAGUGACGGAGAUGCACCGUGUGACAGUGUGCGUUUUCCGGGCGAGUUCGUUGCGCUGUGUGCCGGUCGUGCGCGGGACUGGUACCACCCGUCGUUCCACCAGUUCUCAGUGCUCCAGCGCGCCGUGCGCGAUGUCAGUGCCGCCGCCGAGGAGACUGUGCGCCGCGAGCUGCCGCCCGAGGACCGGCCGGCGCAGACCCGGCUGUAGCCGCUGGCUGACGGCGCGCUGUCGCUGCGUCCGCCGACCCUGCGCCGGCCGCGCCGGGAGGACCCAGCUGCAGCAGCUGGUGGUGGCCCUGGACGGCGCCUGCCCCCUGGUGGCGGGUGGCAGCUGCGGGAGCCACGUGACGCCGUCUGCGCUCUCGGCAGCGCGCCACCUGGAGCCGCAUGCAGACCGCGUUGCCAGAGCUGCGUCGUCUGACGUCGGGUCUGCUGCGACUGGUGACGCGCCAGAGGACGCGCUGGUCACCGCCGCGAGCCCGGAUCGAGACGGACACGGAGCCAGUUCCGAACGGAGCCUCCCUCACCAGGAGAGCUUGACGCUGCUGCGAGCACCACAGGGCUACUAGCGGUACGUCACGUGCUGCUGGUUUUCUAGAGACGGAUGUUUGCUGAUAUUAGGCUGUUAAGACUGAGCCGUGAUGCAGUGGCCGGUGGGAGUGCCGGCGCCGGUCGUGGUGGACCCGACGCCCAGCGCUCCGCUUCGCGCUGCUACCACACAGGUCUCUGAAUGGAGCUGCGUUCCGGUGGGCGGCUGGCUGCGCUCUCUCGGUCUGGCCCAGUACGCCGACGCGUUCGUCGCCCGCUCUGUGGAUGGCGCCCGGCUUCUGGGGCUCACCGAACAGGCUAUGGAAGACGAGCCCGACGUCGGUCUCGACGUGGCGACCUCGGAGCCAGCGUGUUGGGUCUCGGCUUCCCGCCACUCACCGGCGGACCUUUUCGCUUCGUGGACCGCAUCGGUCCCGCACAGCUAGUCAAGGACAUGGAGCGCUUCGCCGUCGUCAAUGGCGUCGGCUUCGAGCCGUGCCUGACCGUGCACUACCAGGCCGCUAGCGGCACCAAGUUCUGUUCGGCCGGGCCUCGUGUAAUGCCCACAUGUGAUGACCGAGUGUAUACGCAUGUGAAGCCGCUCCGCGUGUGUACCAGCGCUGGGCGUGUUCAGUUUCAAAGUAAAUAUAGAACCCUGGUGAUCAA